CGGUUGAUCCUGCCGGACCCCACUGCUAUCGGGAUGGGACUAAGACAUGCAAGUCGAGCGCUUCCAAGCCAUGUUGGGGGCGCGGCGCACAGCUCAGUAACACGUGGCUAACCUGCCCUUGGGAUAGGGACAACCCCGGGAAACUGGGGCUAAUCCCCAAUAGGCGAAGGCUCCUGGAAUGGUUCUUCACCAGAAAGGAAUCUAGAUCAUGCUUCUAGAUGUCGCCCAAGGAUGGGGCCGCGUCCGAUCAGGUUGUUGGUGAGGUAAUGGCCCACCAAGCCUUUUACCGGUGCGGGCCGUGAGAGCGGGAGCCCGGAGAUGGGCACUGAGACAAGGGCCCAGGUCCUACGGGGCGCAGCAGUCGCGAAAACUUUGCAAUACACGAAAGUGUGACAGGGUCAUCCCGAGUGCCGACCGCUGAGGUUGGCUUUUACUCAGUCUAGAAAGCUGGGAGAAUAAGGAGAGGGCAAGUCUGGUGUCAGCCGCCGCGGUAAUACCAGCUCUCCGAGUGGUGUGGACGUUUAUUGGGCCUAAAGCAUCCGUAGCUGGCUGAACAAGUCCCCUGUUAAACCCACCGAUUUAAUCGUUGGCGUGCGGGGGAAACUGCUCGGCUAGGGGACGGGAGAGGCAGACGGUAUUCUCGGGGUAGGGGUGAAAUCCUAUAAUCCCGAGAAGACCACCAGUGGCGAAGGCUGUCUGCUAGAACGCGCCCGACGGUGAGGGAUGAAAGCUGGGGGAGCGAACCGGAUUA
rnacentral:rRNA from 1 species